AGGGAGAUGUGGAGUUAUGGACCUGGGUACUCCGUGCUGGUGAACUCGAACUCCGUCUGGAACGGCCGGCCACAGAGGGUGACAGCCCCGUAGAGGUAAACCGUGGGAGAUUCCGGGUAUCCUGAGUAACGUGCGCUGGAUAUCGCGCGUGAAUAUGGGAGGCAUGAACUUCCAACUCUAAAUACAUCCUGAGACCGAUAGCGCAAUAGUAGCGUGAGCGAAACCUGAAAAGUAAACUUGACGGGAAGUGAAAAGAGCCUGAAACCAGACGAUAACAGGCGUGUGCAGCGUGUAAGGUCUUUGACCAGCGUUGCACUGUCCGUGUUGAAAAACGGGCCAGGGAGUUCUGGUCAAUGGCGAGGUUAAGCUGGAUUAUCAGCCUAGCCGCAGGGAAACCGAGAGUCCGCAGCCGCAAGGCGAGGGACGGGGUGCGUUCGCCCCCAGUCAUUGGUGGGAGACCCGAAGCCAGUCGAUCUAUACCUGACUAGGUUGAAGCCCUGGGAAACCAGGGUGGAGGACCGAACCGAUAUUGAUGUGCAAAUCAUUCGGAUUAGUUGGGCAUAGGGGUGAAAGUCCAAUCGAGGUUGGGAAUAGCUGGUUCCUCCCGAAACUACUCGCAGGUAGGUCUCGGUCGAGGUAGACGGUGCGGUAGAGCCACCGAUCAGGUGUUUAGCAUUCGAAAGGAUGCGACAUCUUGUCGAACUCCGAACGUGCCGUCGCCGCAGAAGCCGGGAAUCAGGGCAUCUGGGGUAAGCUCGGUGUCCGCAAGGGGAACAGCCCGGCCCGGAGUUAAGGUCCCUAAGUGCUGGCUAAGUGUUAAUCUAAAAAGGGCGUCCACGGUCUCAGACAACUAGGAGGUGGGCUCAGAAGCAGCCAUCCUUUAAAGAGUGCGUAACAGCUCACUAGUCGAGACUGCGGGCCUCUAAAAUGGACGGGGCUAAGCCAGCCACCGAUACUUCGGAGCACCGAAAGGUGAUCUGGUAGGGAGGCGUCGUGCGCGGGUCGAAGUAGGGCCGUAAGGUCCUAUGGACCGCGUUCGAAUGCGGAUCCUGGUAGGAGUAACAGCUAAGAUGGGUUAGAAUCCCAUCCGCCGAAAGGGCAAGGGUUCCUCGGCAAUGUUCGUCAGCCGAGGGUUAGUCGGUCCUAAGGGUUCUCUUAAUCGAAGAACUCGAAAGGGAAGCAGGUUUAAUAUUCCUGCACCACGUGGUUUUCGUCCAGCUUCUGACGCAUCGGGAUAAGCCUAGCAGGCUCACCAGCCUGUUCGAGCGCUAUAGUCCCUGGAGAGCCGUAAUGGCGAGAAGGGGAUCAAGGCGCAAGUGUAGGUGCAUUCCAAUUGGCCUAUUUCCCGGUGCCCGUGAAAAGGAAGCUGGAGCCACCCGCGUGACCGUACCUAGAACCGACACUGGUGCCCCUGGGUGAGAAGCCCAAGGCGUCGUGGAUAUAAUCUUCGCGAGGGAAUUCGGCAAAAUCGCCCCGUAUUUAAUAAAAACGCAUGUCAACGCAAGCCAGAAAUGGUGAGUAUGUUGGCUGAAGCCUGCCCAGUGACGGUAUCUGAAAACCGGGUUCAACCGGACGAAGGACCGUUAAACGGCGGGGGUAACUAUGACCCUCUUAAGGUAGCGUAAUACCUUGCCGCUUAAUUGGCGGCUUGCAUGAAGGCCCAACGAGUGUUCUACUGUCCCCGCGAAGAAUCCAGUGAAACUGAUAUACAGGCGUACAAUCCUGUACCUUCCUUCUGAAAGCGAAGACCCCGUAGAGCUUUACUGCAGCCUGUCGUUGUUGUACGAUUUCGAAUGUGUAGAGUAGGCGGGACCCGUUACCAGGGCGCGCCGCUAGGUGCGUUCCGAGGGGCCGAUGAAACACCGCCCUUUUGGGGUUGUACAACUAACCGCUACGGCGGAACACCGGUAGGUAGGCAGUUUGGGUGGGGCGCCACGCCCUCAAAAAGAUAACAAGGGCGCCCAAUGGUCGGCUCAGGUAGGUCAGAAAUCUACCGUUGACUGCAAGGGGAAAAGCCGGCUUGACGCGGAUCUGCUUAACGAGGAUCCGCGAUGCGAAAGCAGGGCCUAGCGAACCACUGAGCCUUAUUCGUGGGGGCCAGUGAUAACAGAAAAGUUACCUCGGGGAUAACUGAGUUGUCGCCAGCAAGAGCCCAUAUCGACCUGGCGGCUUGCUACUUCGAUGUCGUCUCUUCCUAUCCUGGCGGUGCAGCAGCUGCCAAGGGUGGGGUUGUUCGCCCAUUAAAAGGGAUCGUGAGAUGGGUUUAGACCGUCGUGAGACAGGUUUGUUGCUUUUUGAAGGAAGUGCGAUGGUGUCUGAGGGGAAGGUGCCUCUAGUACGAGAGGAACGAGGCAUCAUAGCCACUAGUGCAUCUGUUGUCCGGUAGGGCAUUGCAGAGCAGCCACGCUGUAGCAGAUAAAGGCUGAAAGCAUCUAAGCCUGAAACUGUCCCUAAAACGAGACACCUUCGAGGGCUCCCAUAGAAGAUGGGGUUGAUAGAGCUGGGGUGUAAGUCGGGAGCUUCGGCGACCGAUUCAGCCCGCAGCCACUAAUAGUCCGGAAUCUCGUGC
rnacentral:rRNA from 1 species